CAUGAAGCUGGAAUCGCUAGUAAUCGCGAAUCAGAAUGUCGCGGUGAAUACGUUCCCGGGUCUUGUACACACCGCCCGUCACACCAUGGGAGUUGGUAACGCCCGAAGUCAGUGACCCAACCGAAAGGAGGGAGCUGCCUAAGGCGGGACCGAUAACUGGGGUGAAGUCGUAACAAGGUAAC
rnacentral:rRNA from 1 species